AUUGAACGCUGGCGGCAGGCCUAACACAUGCCAGUCGAGCGGAUGAAGGGAGCUUGCUCCUGGAUUCAGCGGCGGACGGGUGAGUAAUGCCUAGGAAUCUGCCUGGUAGUGGGGGAUAACGUCCGGAAACGGGCGCUAAUACCGCAUACGUCCUGAGGGAGAAAGUGGGGGAUCUUCGGACCUCACGCUAUCAGAUGAGCCUAGGUCGGAUUAGCUAGUUGGUGGGGUAAAGGCCUACCAAGGCGACGAUCCGUAACUGGUCUGAGAGGAUGAUCAGUCACACUGGAACUGAGACACGGUCCAGACUCCUACGGGAGGCAGCAGUGGGGAAUAUUGGACAAUGGGCGAAAGCCUGAUCCAGCCAUGCCGCGUGUGUGAAGAAGGUCUUCGGAUUGUAAAGCACUUUUAGUGGGGAGGAAGGGCAGUAAGUUAAUACCUUGCUGUUUUGACGUUACCAACAGAAUAAGCACCGGCUAACUUCGUG
rnacentral:rRNA from 1 species